rnacentral:misc_RNA from 1 species
GUUCCAUAGCCAUGCUUGGCCUGGUAGGGCAGGGUGGAGAGGGCGGUCUCAUCGACGUCGAACACCCAGAUCUCCUUGCCAUGGCCGGAGAGCUUGAGGCUCUCGGCGUAGGCGAUGGCCUCGUUGAUCACCACGUCGGAGUCGCGGCCGUAUCGCUCGCCGGUCAAGUAGUCGGAGACGUACUCGGCGCAGUCCGCCGGCACCGUCUUCCAGCCGAUGAUGUUG